rnacentral:rRNA from 1 species
GACGAACGCUGGCGGCGUGCCUAAUACAUGCAAGUAGGACGCACAGUUUAUACCCGUAGCUUGCUACACCAUAGACUGUGAGUUGCGAACGGGUGAGUAACGCGUAGGUAACCUACCUAUUAGAGGGGGAUAACUAUCGGAAACGAUAGCUAAUACCGCAUAACAGUAUGUAACACAUGUUAGAUGCUUGAAAGAUGCAAUUGCAUCGCUAGUAGAUGGACCUGCGUUGUAUUAGCUAGUAGGUAGGGUAAAGGCCUACCUAGGCAACGAUACAUAGCCGACCUGAGAGGGUGAUCGGCCACACUGGGACUGAGACACGGCCCAGACUCCUACGGGAGGCAGCAGUAGGGAAUCUUCGGCAAUGGGGGGAACCCUGACCGAGCAACGCCGCGUGAGUGAAGAAGGUUUUCGGAUCGUAAAGCUCUGUUGUUAAGGAAGAACGAGUGUGAGAAUGGAAAGUUCAUG